AAUAUUUAUACAUAGUUAAUAAAUUUUAAACACCAAGUACAUUAUUUGAGCAAAAGCUAUUGGAUUCGGCCGAAACCCGUAGCUCGGCUUGUGCCCUCCACCCCCCUCCACCCCCCUGUAAGUUAUAACAUACCCCGAAAAUGUAGUGGAAUCUUGAAACUCAUGGAGAACGUUAAUUAUUUACUCUACUAAGAAAUCAUACAGUAAUACAGAAAGCAUAUAUGUAAUAUGUUCCAUACUGGAAUUUGUUUAAGUUAUCCCAUUAUUCUUUUGAAUCAUCUCCCUUGGAGAUGAUUAUACGUCAUCAAUCCAAUUAUCAAAUCUUCUCCAUAUAAUAUUCUCUACGGCACAUUCCAUUGGUCAAUUUCUCCUCCCUGAAACAGUACAUAUGGGUUUGCUCGAUGGUCAGUACCCCACCUAUAACCUUACAGGUUGAGUCGCCGGACGAGCAAUAGCUCCAACAAAAGGAUUCAAAGAGGAAUCAAAGUGAGAAAAGAAAAAGAAAAAAAAAAGUAUGUAUUUUUACAUCCACAGACCCCAGUAAGCCUGUAACAUUCAUUAUCUUUUAGACCCUUCCUUAAUAAGUAAUCUGUAAAGGUAAAGAUCCCACCUUUGGCCGAAUAAUAGAAAAGGAUAAAAAUUAGGGCAAGAGAAUAAUUAGGAAGGUCUAAUUAAUAAGUAGUAGAAAGAUGUGCAAUUGUAAUCAGUCCUUACUUUGAGCAACACGGAAUCUCACUAAUUAGACUCCAGGUUAGUUUAGCUUAUACACAUUGUUCUUAUAAAAGAAGUUAUACACUAUCAGAUACAAACUACAUGUAAUCGUUCAUAAUAAGUGAAAUUGGUAUUCUAGAAAAUUAGGUAGCUAGGUUAUAUGCUACAUUGUUCGUAUAAAAGAAGUUAUACACUAUCAGAUACAAACUACAUGUAAUCGUUCAUAAUAAGUGAAAUUGGUAUUCUAGAAAAUUAGGUAGCUAGGUUAUAUGCUACAUAAAGUUUAGCUUAUACACAUUGUUCGUAUAAAAGAAGUUAUACACUAUCAGAUACAAACUACAUGUAAUCGUUCAUAAUAAGUGAAAUUGGUAUUCUAGAAAAUUAGGUAGCUAGGUUAUAUGCUACAUGUUUAAAUACACUGAUAUUAUCAGUGUCCCUAACUUAAAUUUGUAACCAAAUCAUUCCUAGUUAAUUAUGGGAAACCACAGCUGUGAACAUUUACUGUAGUAACUGGCAAGGAGUGCAACAUUGAUCAUUCAGCAACUAGCCAACAUCAGAUAUUUUCCAUUUCUGGUACCAAAUUAUCCAGUGCCAGCCAGACUUUAGAAAAGGACUGCCCUUUUUAUUCCCAGGUGGAUAAAAAAAAUCAAUCUUUAUCAUUAACUAUUACUCCCUCCGUUUCGGUCCGUUCCAAAAAAAAGACCCCUUUCUAAAUUUGAAAAUAAUUUAGCUUAAAUUUUCAAUUCUACCCUUAAUGAGAAGAUUUUAUAGUCACACAAAUACUCCCCUUUUGACUUGUUUAGAUCCAUAAAUUUCAAAAAUCUUUAUUUUUUCUUAAACUUCGUACUCAGUCAAACAGAUUCACAUAAAAUGAAACGGAUAGAGUACUAGCAUUCGUAUUUUUUUCCCUUUUCAAUCAAGAUCAACCAAUCCCCUGUGUCCAGUUGUUUGGCAACGACAACAUUGUUUGUAGUAGCCACAUUCAUUAAAAACUUUCCCUAGUUGCAGUGACAACUAUGAUUCCUCAGAAUUAAAUUGCAAGCACCCAAAAUAUGAGGAGAAGCUUGUUAAAUUCCAAGGCACCAGCUUUCCCCAGCCUGUCCACUUUCAGGCAACUAUGUUAAAUCCAAUAAAUUGAAGUGUAUCUCUAGGUUUGGCUGAAUCUACAUUGUUUAAUAGCCUUAACAUAAGACAUUCGUAUUUGUGUCAAACAAAUAUAUCUUUUGAAUAAAAUGUAAUUACUUAAUACUUAAGUCUUUCAGAAAUAAAUAUCAAAUAGAGAUAAAGAAUAAUUUAGUCAAACAAUCAUUAUGAUUAAAAAAAGGUGCACUAAUCUUCCGUUGUGUCCGGGAAUUGCGGACCACAAGGGUCUAUUGUACACAGUCUUACCCUAUAUUUUUGUAUUUUACGCAGUCUUAUGCUACAUUUCUGCAAGAGACUGUUUUCACGCCUCGAAUCAUUAUGAUUAAUCUUAUUAAAUAGUUUUCAGUUUUCAGAGAGCUAAAAUCUUAAAUGACAAAUAAAAAUGACACAAGAAAGCAUACAUUCUUAUAA
rnacentral:lncRNA from 1 species